rnacentral:tRNA from 1 species
CGGGACGUAGCGCAGUUUGGUAGCGCACUUGACUGGGGGUCAAGGGGUCGCGGGUUCAAGUCCCGCCGUCCCGACCA